rnacentral:rRNA from 1 species
UGCAUGCAAGUCGAGCGAAGCUUUUCAGUAGUUUACUACAGAAAAUGACUGAGCGGCGAACGGGUGAGUAACGCGUGAGCAAUCUACCUUAGUUACAGGGAUAGCCCGAGGAAACUCGGAUUAAUACCUGAUAUUCUUUAUAUUUCGCAUGAAAUUAAAAGGAAAGGUCAGCCGAACUAAGAUGAGCUCGCGUUCUAUCAGCUAGUUGGUGAGGUAAAAGCUCACCAAGGCUACGACGGAUAGCUGGUCUGAGAGGACGAUCAGCCACACUGGGACUGAGACACGGCCCAGACUCCUACGGGAGGCUGCAGCAGGGAAUAUUGUGCAAUGAACGAAAGUUUGACACAGCGACACCGCGUGUGGGAUGACGGAUCUAGGUUUGUAAACCACUUUCAGGAGGGAAGAAAAUGACGGUACCUCCACAAGAAGCCCCGGCCAACUACGUGCCAGCAGCCGCGGUAAUACGUAGGGGGCGAGCGUUGUCCGGAUUUAUUGGGCGUAAAGAGCUCGUAGGCGGUUCAACAAGUCGUUCGUGAAAGUUCAGGGCUCAACCCUGAAAUGUCGAUCGAUACUGUUGUGACUAGGAUACGGUAGAGGUGAGUGGAAUUCCGAGUGUAGCGGUGAAAUGCGUAGAUAUUCGGAGGAACACCAAUUGCGAAGGCAGCUCACUGGGCCGCUAUCGACGCUGAGGAGCGAAAGCUAGGGGAGCAAACAGGAUUAGAUACCCUGGUAGUCCUAGCUGUAAACGAUGGAUACUAGACGUAGGAACUGGAUUGACGGUUUCUGUGUCGCAGCUAACGCGUUAAGUAUCCCGCCUGGGGAGUACGGUCGCAAGACUAAAACUCAAAGGAAUUGACGGGACCCCGCACAAGCGGCGGAGCAUGCGGCUUAAUUCGAUGAUACCCGUAGAACCUUACCUGGACUUGACAUAUAGGGUCUAGCUAUAGAGAUAUAGUGUGCAUUAGCGCCCUAUAC